rnacentral:lncRNA from 1 species
UGCCUGGGCCUAGAUGAAGUUGACUGGCAGCUAGAGAGGAUCUGUGCCUGGGCCUAGAUGAUGCUGACUGGCAGCUAGAGAGGAUCUGGGCCUAGAUGAUGCUGACUGACAGCUAGACAGGAUCUGUGCCUGGGCCUAGAUGAUGCUGACUGGCAGCUAGAGAGGAUCUGUUCCUGGGCCUAGAUGAUGCUGACUGGCAGCUAGAGAAUCUGUGCCUGGGCCUAGAUGCAUCUCUUAGUAAACUUAUACAGACAACAAUGUCAACUUCCUCCCAGACAAACUACUGUGUAUCUCUUGUUGAAUGUAUCUCCAAUUAGUAGAGAGAGAGAGAGAACCUCCAGGAAAUGCUGGUCAGUGCUGUGGAUGUAAUCGGUCGAUGAAUUGCUCUCUUCCAAGAGGCUUCUUAACAGCUUCUACCCCCAAGCCAUAAGACUCCUGAACAUCUAGUCAAAUGGCUACCCAGACUAUUCGCAUUGACCCUCCCCCCCUCCGCCCCCUCUCCACACCACUGCCACUCUCUGUUGUCGUCUAUGCAUAGUCACUUUAAUUAACUCUACCUACAUGUACAUACUACCUCAACUAACCGGUGCCCCCACACAUUGACUCGGCACCGCCCUGUAUAUAUUCUUAUUUUAUUUUUUACUGCUGCUCAAUUACUUGUUACUUUUAUCUCUUAUUAUCUGUAUUUAUCUGUAUUUUUCGAAACUCCACUGUUGGUUAGUGGCUCGUAAGUAAGCAUUUCACUGUAAGGUCUACACCUGUUGUAUUCGGCGCAUGUGAUUAAUGCAAUUUGAUUUGAUUUGAUUUGAUUCCAGCAGUCCUGUGUUUUCCUCCUAUUAACGAGCACUUAAAGGUGCUGGCAUCGACCGACACAGAAGGAAACUGGUCAAUACUAUCUCCUCCAGGACACAUUUCUGUUCAGAGGGAACCGUGUCAAAGGCCUGGAGUUGCUGAGGCAAAUUCUUGUGGAGUGCCUGGCAGCCCUUGGGGGUAACCUCCUGAGACGGCCCGCAGUCCGGAACCUCCUGAGACGGCCCGCAGUCCGGAACCUCCUGAGACGGCCCGCAGUCCGGAACCUCCUGAGACGGCCCUCAGUCCGGAGCCUCCAGCGACGGCCCUCAGUCCGGAGCCUCCAGCGACGGCCCUCAGUCCGGAGCCUCCAGCGACGGCCCGCAGUCCGGAGCCUCCAGUGGCAGUCCGCAGUCCGGAGCCUCCAGCAGCGGUCUGCAGUCUGGAGCCUCCGGCGAUGAUCCGCGGUCCGGUGACACGAAAGCAGAGGGAUCAGCUAGUGGAGCGGGGGCUACGCCCCGAACCGGAGCCACCUCCUAUGCUGGUGGAUAAGCAGGAUGAGAGGGUUCUUCGUCCCGCACCAGAACCGCCUCCGAUGCAGAAGGAUCCGCAGGAUGUGAAGGUUCUUCGUCCUGCAUCAGAGCCGCCACCGACAUUAGACACCCACCCUAAGCCUCCCUGUCUUUUUUUGUUGUUUAAGGUUGUGCGUUCGGUGUCCGCACCUUUUUUUGGGGGGGGAGGUACUGUCACGUCCUGACCAUAGAAAGCUUUUAUUUUCUAUGGUAGAGUAGGUCAGGGC